rnacentral:tRNA from 1 species
GGGGAUAUAGCUCAGUGGUAUAGCACUUGCCUAGCAAGCAUGAGGUCCUGGGUUUGAUGCCCAGUACUGCAA